rnacentral:rRNA from 1 species
UGGCUCAGGAUGAACGCUAGCGGCAGGCUUAACACAUGCAAGUCGAGGGGCAGCGGGGAGGAAGCUUGCUUUCUCCGCCGGCGACCGGCGCACGGGUGAGUAACACGUAUGCAACCUGCCCCUGUCAGGGGGACAACCCGCCGAAAGGCGGGCUAAACCCGCGUACAUGCCACCGGGGCAUCCCGGAGGCAGGAAAGGCUUCGGCCGGACAGGGAUGGGCAUGCGGCGCAUUAGGCAGUAGGCGGGGUAACGGCCCACCUAACCGACGAUGCGUAGGGGUUCUGAGAGGAAGGUCCCCCACACUGGUACUGAGACACGGACCAGACUCCUACGGGAGGCAGCAGUGAGGAAUAUUGGUCAAUGGUCGGGAGACUGAACCAGCCAAGCCGCGUGAGGGAUGAAGGUACAGAGUAUCGUAAACCUCUUUUGUCAGGGAACAAAGGCGGGGACGUGUCCCCGGAUGAGUGUACCUGAAGAAAAAGCAUCGGCUAACUCCGUGCCAGCAGCCGCGGUAAUACGGAGGAUGCGAGCGUUAUCCGGAUUUAUUGGGUUUAAAGGGUGCGCAGGCGGUCUGUUAAGUCAGCGGUCAAAGCCCGGGGCUCAACCCCGGCCCGCCGUUGAAACUGGCAGUCUCGAGUUGGAGAGAAGUAUGCGGAAUGCGCGGUGUAGCGGUGAAAUGCAUAGAUAUCGCGCAGAACUCCGAUUGCGAAGGCAGCAUGCCGGCUCCACACUGACGCUGAGGCACGAAAGCGUGGGUAUCGAACAGGAUUAGAUACCCUGGUAGUCCACGCAGUAAACGAUGAAUGCUGGCUGUCCGGGGGGGAUUGACCCCUGGGUGGCGAAGCGAAAGCGAUAAGCAUUCCACCUGGGGAGUACGCCGGCAACGGUGAAACUCAAAGGAAUUGACGGGGGCCCGCACAAGUGGAGGAACAUGUGGUUUAAUUUGAUGAUACGCGAGGAACCUUACCCGGGCUCAAACGGGGAGUGACUCAGGCAGAGACGCCUGUUUUCCACGGGACACUCCCUGAGGUGCUGCAUGGUUGUCGUCAGCUCGUGCCGUGAGGUGUCGGCUUAAGUGCCAUAACGAGCGCAACCCCCGCGUGCAGUUGCUAACAGAUAACGCUGAGGACUCUGCACGGACUGCCGGCGCAAGCCGCGAGGAAGGCGGGGAUGACGUCAAAUCAGCACGGCCCUUACGUCCGGGGCGACACACGUGUUACAAUGGGUGGUACAGCGGGAAGCCAGGCGGCGACGCCGAGCGGAACCCGAAAUCCACUCUCAGUUCGGAUCGGAGUCUGCAACCCGACUCCGUGAAGCUGGAUUCGCUAGUAAUCGCGCAUCAGCCAUGGCGCGGUGAAUACGUUCCCGGGCCUUGUACACACCGCCCGUCAAGCCAUGGGAGCCGAGGGCGCUUGAAGUGCGUCGCCGCGAGGCGCGCCCUAGAGCGAAAUCGGUGACUGGGGAUAGAGUCGUAACAAGGUA